rnacentral:rRNA from 1 species
UAGUUUUUUUAGAAAUAAAUUUAAUUUACAAAUUUUUGAUUUUUUAGUUAUUUAUUUAAUUGAAAAAUUUAUUUAUUUGAAUAUUUUAAGGGAUAAGCUUUAAAAUAAAUUAUUAAAAAUUAAUAGUAGUAAUAUAAAAUGUAUGCUUAGAAUUAGCAAUCAUUAUAAAGUUUGUUAUAAAUUAUUUUAUAAAUUAUAUUAUUUAUUAUAUUUUAAUUUAUUUAUAAAAAUUUUUUUAUAAAUUAUAUAUAAAAAGGAAUAAUGAUAGAAUUAGUAUAUUCUUUUGUUUAUGUAAUUUUAUAUGAUAAGUUUGUAUAAAGAACUCGGCAAAAAUUUUACCCGCCUGUUUAACAAAAACAUGUCUUUUUGAGUUAUUUUUAAAGUCUGACCUGCCCACUGAAGUUAUUUAAAUGGCCGCAGUAUUCUAACUGUGCAAAGGUAGCAUAAUCAUUAGUCUUUUAAUUGAAG